CCUACGGGGGGCUGCAGUAGGGAAUCUUCCACAAUGGACGAAAGUCUGAUGGAGCAACGCCGCGUGAGUGAUGAAGGGUUUCGGCUCGUAAAACACUGUUGUAAGAGAAGAAUGACAUUGAGAGUAACUGUUCAGUGUGUGACGGUAUCUUACCAGAAAGGAACGGCUAAAUACGUGCCAGCAGCCGCGGUAAUACGUAUGUUCCAAGCGUUAUCCGGAUUUAUUGGGCGUAAAGCGAGGGCAGACGGUUGUGUAAGUCCGAAGUGGGAGCCCAAUGCUUAACUGUGGAAGUGCUUUGGAAACUAGAUAACUUGAGUGCAGUAGAGGCGAGUGGAACUCCAUGUGUAGUGGUGAAGUGCGUAGAUAUAUUGAAGAACACCGGUGGCGAAGGCGGCUCUCUGGUCUGUAACUGACGUUGAGGCUCGAAAGUGUGGGAAGCAAACAGGAUUAGAUCCCCGUGUAGUC
rnacentral:rRNA from 1 species